rnacentral:rRNA from 1 species
UACGUAGGGGGCGAGCGUUGUCCGGAAUUAUUGGGCGUAAAGAGCGCGUAGGCGGUCCGAUAAGUCGGCUGUGAAAGUCAGGGGCUCAACCCUUGGAAGCCGGCCGAUACUGUCGGACUAGGGUCCGGAAGAGGCGAGUGGAAUUCCCGGUGUAGCGGUGAAAUGCGCAGAUAUCGGGAGGAACACCAAUGGCGAAGGCAGCUCGCUGGGACGGUACUGACGCUGAGGCGCGAAAGCGUGGGGAGCAAACAGG